rnacentral:rRNA from 1 species
GAUGAACGCUGGCGGCGUGCUUAACACAUGCAAGUCGAACGGCGAAGCCGGAACUUCCUCUGCUUGAUCAGUGGCGAACGCGUGAGUAACACGUGAGCAAUCUGCCCCUGACUUUGGGAUAAGCUCUGGAAACGGCGCCUAAUACUGGAUACGAGCUGCGCAACGAUCUUCAGCAGCUGGACAGAACUCCGGUCAGGGAUGAGCUCGCGGCUUAAGAGCUUGUUGGUGAGGUAACGGCUCACCAAGGCGUCGACGGGUAGCCGGCCUGAGAGGGUGACCGGCCACAAGGGGACUGAGAGAGGGAGCAGACGGGUACGGGGGGCAGCGGUGGGGAAUAUUGCACAGUGAGAGAAAGCCGGAUGCGGAGACGCCGGGUUAGGGACGACGGUCUGCGGGGUGUGAACCGCUGUUGGCUAAGAAGAAGCGGUAGUGACGGUACCUGAAGAAAAAGCGCCGGCUAACUACGUG